UUGGUCUACACCCCUCAAUCUGACGGAUUUUGGUCCUUUGUCUGUGAUUGGCUGGCCCAUUACUGGCAGGACUUUUAUGUUGAUAAAUGUAGUUUUUGGACGUGACGUGGGUCUCUUUCCGCCCCGCUGUUGUUUUGCCGGCAAAGGAGGCCGGCUGGCGUGUGAGCUGCUGCUAGCCGUGAUCAUUAUCCGGUAGAUUUGGUACCUUCAGGUAGGCAUUUCUCAUUCAUACUUUAUGAUGUGUCCGAUCGCCGUAUUGUCUGAAUUACGGACCUGAUUAUGUGACUGCAUUCCACUUCUAGCCAUUCUUGUGUGGAACUGCACUCUGCUGUGAACUGGCGUUCACUUCACGCUGCCUAUACUGCACCGGUGUGUACCCCCUUGGUUGGUGUGUUGCCCCAUCAUCUGUGCCCUGUGGCAGGCCUGAUUCGUGGUGCUUACGCCGGCUUGGAGUGGCCAGAGUGGUUGGCCCCUGGGUACCUGAUUGCAGUCAGUGGAUGGUAAGCUGGCCUAUGCUACGUUGAUGUUGUUCCUCCGAUGGUAACGAUGACCUUAGUCACUAAAUCUACCCUCACUUUCCUCAGUGUGUGGUCCAAAUUGCGAUUGUUCCGAACCACGGAUCUAUGAUCAGGUUAGCGGUGCCUCUCUGACGCUGGGGAUUGCUAGCUACACUCCUCGGAGGUUGCUGUUUUGUUGCCGUCACACUCUGCGCCGGUUCCGACUGGCUCCACCUGCUCGUCCUGCUUUUGUUUGGUUUAAUUAUUUUUAUUUUCUGGUCCGUUUCUUGGGACGCCAGCCUCCUCGCUGCGCACUGCGCAGGUCUAGUUACCUGUGUGUGUUGUGAGUGCGUGUGUGUCUGUGCGUCUGUAUGCGUGUGUGAUUGUCAUCUAGGCACGGCACCGGAGGCAAGUGUACACCCCCUUCAGUCAACCUACGGCGGUGUAGUUCUCCCCUCUCUUGCUAUACAAAAGUUAAGUUGCAUCUAGUCAUCACUGUGUAUGUAAAUUGUGUAAUACAUUAGUAUGUGUCAUUCUCGCUAUUGAGUGUCUCUCUCUUCUCUCCUCCCUGGACAGGUAUGGAGUUGCCAUAGCGCGCCGGUCUUCGGGUGGUGGAUUCCCUCACUUUUCCAUUGCUGUGUGCACUUGGGUGACUAUUACUAUUUUGCUGAGUGUAGUAGUAGAUGUGUGUUUUCUUUUUAUUUUGUGUGAGUACUAUCUUUAUUGUGUGUGUUUAUUUUGUGUGACCUUUUCCCUAGUCUUUAACUAUCCCCUUUUCAACCGUGCUGCUAUUGGUUAGCCUAAGCCUAGCUUUCCCCCCCCCUUUAAGAGUGAUACCAUUGCCCUGUCUCCCCCGUAUUGGGGCGUUGCUUAUGACCGAGUGUAGCCUCCCUUUUCUCUCGCACAGGUGCCGUGCGUGUGUAUGUGUGGUGUGUGUUUGUGUGUGGCCAUUGGCCAUAUUGCUCCACAUAACGGCCCGCUAGUGGGCGUCUAAUAGGGAUCAGUGCAAUAUUGUCUGUAAUACAAUUCAUCCAUAUUGUAUUUUUGUAAUGUAUGAGUAUUUGUCCCUUGCAUCACCACUGCAUAUUUGCACACCUGUAUGACAAAUUCACAUCUGUAUGACUAUUGUAAUGUAAAGAGAAUAAACACUUGACUCAUGCCUGAGAGUGCUCCGAACCUGUGUCCUGGUUUACUAAUUUGGGGGGUAAUUUCACUCCUAGGUUGUCCUCCCCCACCCUAGGUGGCGUAGUCGUGCAAGAGCUGAGUUGAAUUUAAUUAACUGUAAACGUGCCACUGUUACAACUGGCGUAGAUUUCGGCAGGAGAGCACUCUUAGGGCAGAGUUUUGCAAGUGUGUUGUGUGCAGUAAGUGGUGUUGCUGUUAAUUUGACUGUUUGUUUCUCUUUCAUCAGGAGCGAGGAGCGUGGGCCGGUGCGGUUCCGGGGGUAGGGUUGGCAACAAAACAGCAACUUCCCAUUAGCCAUUCGAGUCUGCCCUCAGGUAGGGGAUUGUUUUUGGUAUUGGUGGCAUCGUGAGACGGAGGAGGAAAUGCAGCAACUGCGAGACUUGAUUGCUUGGUUAUGGGAUAGCGGCGAGCACCUUUGGCCGGCUAGCACGGCGGGGUUGGGGGAGCAUUGUAUAUAGCAUUGGAUUGGAGAGCGGCAGUUAGGCUGCCGGGUCUCCACGUUUUACGCUCACUGGUUCCCCUCUGUACCAGAGGCUGGGUCCACUGGCGUGUCAUUUUGUGAUGGCGGCAGCUAGGCUGCCGGGUCUCCUUGUCUUACUGUUACUGGGUCCCCUCUGUACCAGAGGCUGGAUUCACUGGUCAUGUGUUGUGGAUAGCGGCAGUUAGGCUGCCGGGUCUCCACGUUUUACGCAACUGGGUCCCCUCUGUACCAGAGGCUGGGUCCACUGGCGUGUCAUUUUGUGAUGGCGGCAGCUAGACUGCCGGGCCUCCUUGUCUUACUGUUACUGGGUCCCCUCUGUACCAGAGGCUGGAUUCACUGGUCAUGUGUUGUGGAUAGCGGCAGUUAGGCUGCCGGGUCUCCACGUUUUACGCUCACUGGUUCCCCUCUGUACCAGAGGCUGGGUCCACUGGCGUGUCAUUUUGUGAUCGCGGCAGCUAGACUGCCGGGUCUCCUUUAGUUGGAUAGCGGCAGUUGGACUGCCGGGUCGUCAUGCGUCAUUGCAACUGGGUCCCCUCUGUACCAGAGGCUGGGUCCAUUGAUAUUGUACUAUUUGGAUAGCGGCGGUUAGACUGCCAGGUCCCCAUCUCUUGCUUUGUCACUGGGUCCCCUCUGUACCAGAGGCGGGGUCAGUUGGCCUUGCGUCAUUUGGAUGGUGGUAGUUGGACCGCUGGGUCUCCUUUGGUUGGAUAGCGGCAGUUGGACUGCCGGGUCACCAUGUAUCAUUGUAACUGGGUCCCCUCUGUACCAGAGGUUGGGCCCACUGGCGUUUUCCCCUCUCUUUUAGCCACACUAAGGCCUGUCUAGGUUGGUUAGUUCCCUGGGAUUCCUUGCAGUGGGGAACCCAUGAUUUGAAUCGGUUUGUCGUCGAGGCGCCGACACAAAAGGUGGGGGUAAAUGUGACAGAUUGGUCUACACCCCUCAAUCUGACGGAUUUUGGUCCUUUGUCUGUGAUUGGCUGGCCCAUUACUGGCAGGACUUUUAUGUUGAUAAAUGUAGUUUUUGGACGUGACGUGGGUCUCUUUCCGCCCCGCUGUUGUUUUGCCGGCAAAGGAGGCCGGCUGGCGUGUGAGCUGCUGCUAGCCGUGAUCAUUAUCCGGUAGAUUUGGUACCUUCAGGUAGGCAUUUCUCAUUCAUACUUUAUGAUGUGUCCGAUCGCCGUAUUGUCUGAAUUACGGACCUGAUUAUGUGACUGCAUUCCACUUCUAGCCAUUCUUGUGUGGAACUGCACUCUGCUGUGAACUGGCGUUCACUUCACGCUGCCUAUACUGCACCGGUGUGUACCCCCUUGGUUGGUGUGUUGCCCCAUCAUCUGUGCCCUGUGGCAGGCCUGAUUCGUGGUGCUUACGCCGGCUUGGAGUGGCCAGAGUGGUUGGCCCCUGGGUACCUGAUUGCAGUCAGUGGAUGGUAAGCUGGCCUAUGCUACGUUGAUGUUGUUCCUCCGAUGGUAACGAUGACCUUAGUCACUAAAUCUACCCUCACUUUCCUCAGUGUGUGGUCCAAAUUGCGAUUGUUCCGAACCACGGAUCUAUGAUCAGGUUAGCGGUGCCUCUCUGACGCUGGGGAUUGCUAGCUACACUCCUCGGAGGUUGCUGUUUUGUUGCCGUCACACUCUGCGCCGGUUCCGACUGGCUCCACCUGCUCGUCCUGCUUUUGUUUGGUUUAAUUAUUUUUAUUUUCUGGUCCGUUUCUUGGGACGCCAGCCUCCUCGCUGCGCACUGCGCAGGUCUAGUUACCUGUGUGUGUUGUGAGUGCGUGUGUGUCUGUGCGUCUGUAUGCGUGUGUGAUUGUCAUCUAGGCACGGCACCGGAGGCAAGUGUACACCCCCUUCAGUCAACCUACGGCGGUGUAGUUCUCCCCUCUCUUGCUAUACAAAAGUUAAGUUGCAUCUAGUCAUCACUGUGUAUGUAAAUUGUGUAAUACAUUAGUAUGUGUCAUUCUCGCUAUUGAGUGUCUCUCUUCUCUCCUCCCUGGAUAGGUAUGGAGUUGCCAUAGCGCGCCGGUCUUCGGGUGGUGGAUUCCCUCACUUUUCCAUUGCUGUGUGCACUUGGGUGACUAUUACUAUUUUGCUGAGUGUAGUAGUAGAUGUGUGUUUUCUUUUUAUUUUGUGUGAGUACUAUCUUUAUUGUGUGUGUUUAUUUUGUGUGACCUUUUCCCUAGUCUUUAACUAUCCCCUUUUCAACCGUGCUGCUAUUGGUUAGCCUAAGCCUAGCUUUCCCCCCCCCUUUAAGAGUGAUACCAUUGCCCUGUCUCCCCCGUAUUGGGGCGGUUCGUACGAGUGAGUGUAGCCUCCCUUCCUCUCUCGCACAGGUGCCGUGCGUGUGUAUGUGUGGUGUGUGUUUGUGUGUGGCCAUUGGCCAUAUUGCUCCACAUAACGGCCCGCUAGUGGGCGUCUAAUAGGGAUCAGUGCAAUAUUGUCUGUAAUACAAUUCAUCCAUAUUGUAUUUUUGUAAUGUAUGAGUAUUUGUCCCUUGCAUCACCACUGCAUAUUUGCACACCUGUAUGACAAAUUCACAUCUGUAUGACUAUUGUAAUGUAAAGAGAAUAAACACUUGACUCAUGCCUGAGAGUGCUCCGAA